rnacentral:rRNA from 1 species
GCUCAGAGCGAACGCUGGCGGCAGGCUUAACACAUGCAAGUCGAGCGGGCAUAGCAAUAUGUCAGCGGCAGACGGGUGAGUAACGCGUGGGAACGUACCUUUUGGUUCGGAACAACACAGGGAAACUUGUGCUAAUACCGGAUAAGCCCUUACGGGGAAAGAUUUAUCGCCGAAAGAUCGGCCCGCGUCUGAUUAGCUAGUUGGUGGGGUAAUGGCCCACCAAGGCGACGAUCAGUAGCUGGUCUGAGAGGAUGAUCAGCCACAUUGGGACUGAGACACGGCCCAAACUCCUACGGGAGGCAGCAGUGGGGAAUAUUGGACAAUGGGCGCAAGCCUGAUCCAGCCAUGCCGCGUGAGUGAUGAAGGCCCUAGGGUUGUAAAGCUCUUUUGUGCGGGAAGAUAAUGACGGUACCGCAAGAAUAAGCCCCGGCUAACUUCGUGCCAGCAGCCGCGGUAAUACGAAGGGGGCUAGCGUUGCUCGGAAUCACUGGGCGUAAAGGGUGCGUAGGCGGGUCUUUAAGUCAGGGGUGAAAUCCUGGAGCUCAACUCCAGAACUGCCUUUGAUACCGAAGAUCUUGAGUUCGGGAGAGGUGAGUGGAAUUUCGAGUGUAGAGGUGAAAUUCGUAGAUAUUCGC